CUCUUCCAGGACAACCGGACGGGAGGAGGAGACGUUCGCUCCGCCUCCUCGGGUGCAGAGGCUCGGGAGGCGAGUCUGUGAGACUCGUUCUCAAGGCACCAGCUGCACAGGCACCGGGCGGGCCCAGCGCCCCCGGCCCCGACGCCGCCGAGACGAGUAAAACCUUGGAUUGCGAGUAACUUGUUCUGAGUAUUCCGCAAGACGAGCAAACAUUUCUAAUAAAUGGAUCUGCAUUGCGAGCAACAGCAAGAGGUUAUGGAGGAGAUCUUGUCUGCAGAGGAGGAGGAGAAAAAGGCGGAGGAAUCCCUCACUUCAAAUGAGAUGAGGAAGCUGUGUAAAAUGUGGGAAACAGUGCAAAAUUUUGUAGAAAAGCACCACCCGAAUAAGGCUGUAGCAGUGCGAGCGAUGAAUCUGUUUAACCACAAUGCCAUGUCACAUUUCCAUGAAAUCCUCAAAAGAAGGCAAAAGCAAGUGUCAUUGGACAGGUGCCUUGUUAAAGGUGCACGAAAAGAAAAAGAUUCCAUUGAGCCAAUAGACAGCAGUGAUUCCGUUAGUGACGGUGAAAGUCAUCCUACACAAUCACCCUCCUCUCUCGUCUCACACCAGCCACGAAGGUUUUAAAAGGUUCUGCUUUGCUUCCAUCAAGAGGGUGCUGCUUUGCCUCCUGUGUCAUGUGGAUGGGGAACAAACUCCACGUAUCAGGCUCAAUCAGAAAACUAUCAGGCAGUUGUGAAUGUAGGUCUCAUACGCUGUCCCACAGCCAUGUUUUACCAAAGUAAUUCUUGAAAGAAGCUAGAGAAAGCGGGAUUCAGUAAUUACUGGAAAAGCUCAAGCUAGACAGGGAAGGAAUUUCAUGGAGGCAAGAUUGAUUAUACACUGGAACCGGAUGUUGAAUAAGGUCAGGAGAUAGCUACCUAAUAAAAAUAAAACUUUUAUUAAAAAUGUAACAGUAUGUUUGAUGACAUAGUAGCAAUUUGACUAAGACGGAACACUUGAUAAUCAGUUAUCAGUUCAAAAAUGUUUUCUACAGUGCCUGAUUGUGUAAGAAAUAUCUCUGAUUUCUCUUCUUCAAAAGCCAGUAAAACAUGCCUGUGUUCAUAAGAGACGUUGUAACCGUAAAGCAUUUGGACCCCGAGGCACCUACAUUGUUUAGCCCAUUGACUGCUGGAAUAUAUGGAAUAAUGGAUUUCGUAGACUGUUUUCCAAGCAUAAUAGAUUCAAAGAGGAAAAAAAAAAAACCUCCUUUUUCCCACAGGCAAGAACAUCUUGCAUUACUCAGACUUAAGUUUAUUCCCAUCUAUUUUCUAUUCACCUAGCCAUUCAUUUACCAACGGGUUAUUUCCUAAGACACCAUGAAGUAUGAAAUGGAUGGAUGAAUAAUGGAGUGAAGAUAACGAAUAAUUAUACCUCACAAGAUCUGUAGAAAUUACAAAAGUCAGAGACGUGCCAUGUCCUGUGAGAGCAAUAUCUUUCUUUCUACUCUGUGUCCUAACGUGGAGAAAGUUAGUGUUUUGGAGUUAAGUGGCUUCUUGAAUCGGGACUGGCGGCGUUUUUGAGAAGGAAAUGCCAAACUGUGUUAAGAUUGCAAACAACAGAAGACCCAAGGGAGAAUCAGAAUGAAAACUGGAGUAGAAAGAAAUCCCUGUCCCUUAAAGAUGGACGCUUUCAUUCAUCUUCUAACUAUUUCAGUCAGAAAUGUCUUCCGUUGUGCACCGCCUUAGUCAUUCCAGUUAUCGUGGCUCUGGGAUUGAGCCCUGCGUCCCUCCUACUCUCUUCUGUACACAGCCAUCCCUAUAUCACUAAUUUUAUUCCUGGUGGCCUUCUAAUUACCCACAUUCUGCCCCAUGAAAGAAUUCAAGGUGAGCCCUGUUCCCAAGGAUUUAUCUGGUUCCGGUCUGUUACCUUCAGGUAAGUGAAUAAUGAAAGCACCAUCUAAAUACAUCUUGAUCUUCUCCACACUAACAAGCUUUACACCUGAAACAAUAUUAAGUUUGUUCCAGGAUAGAAUCUGAUGUUUAAAAUUGUCCUAACGUAGCAUGCUAUGUUCUAGUAUCAUCAGCUUUGGUGACUUCUAGUUCAUUCUUUCUGCAAGCGCAGCCGUUUGGUAUGUGUUUAGAUUCAUCGAUUCAGUCACCAUCUUCUUUGCUCAAGACACUUUAGUGUGCAUCCUGUAACUCAACAGGAGACUUACAGACUGGUGUUUCUCAAAGUACCUAUAGUGAAGGAUGUUUUUUUCUUAUUUCCCCACUGUCACAGACCAAUUGGUUGAUAAAAUACAAUUAAAUUACUAGAAAAUAAUACUAGAUAUCAGCAAAAUCAAAUUGUUAUUAAAAAAAAUCUAGGGGCUUCCCUGGUGGUCCAGUGGUAAAGAAUCCACCUUCCAGUGCAGGGGGCGCAGGUUUAAUCCCUGGUUGGGGAACUAAGAUCCUGCAUGCUACGGGGCAACUAAGCCUGCUCACCACAACUACUGAGCUCGCACGCCUCAGCUAGAGAGCCUGCGCGCCACAACCAGAGAGCCCACACACUCAGGAACCCCCGCACCACAACUACAGAGCCAACGUGCCCUGGAGCCUGCACACCACAACUAGAGAAGAGAAACCCAUACACGGCAAGCAGAGAGAAGCCCGCCCACCGCAAGGAAAGACCCCGCGUGCCACAGCAAAGGUCCUGCGUGCUGCAACUAAGACUUGACA